CUACGGGCGGCUCCAGUGAGGAAUAUUGGACAAUGGUCGAAAGACUGAUCCAGCCAUGCCGCGUGCAGGAUGACUGCCCUAUGGGUUGUAAACUGCUUUUAUACGGGAAGAAAAACACCUACGUGCAGGUGACUGACGGUACCGUAAGAAUAAGGACCGGCUAACUCCGUGCCAGCAGCCGCGGUAAUACGGAGGGUCCAAGCGUUAUCCGGAAUCAUUGGGUUUAAAGGGUCCGUAGGCGGGCUAUUAAGUCAGAGGUGAAAGUUUGCAGCUCAACUGUAAAAUUGCCUUUGAUACUGAUAGUCUUGAAUUGUAGUGAAGUGGUUAGAAUAUGUGGUGUAGCGGUGAAAUGCAUAGAUAUCACAUAGAAUACCGAUUGCGAAGGCAGAUCACUAACUAUACAUUGACGCUGAGGGACGAAAGCGUGGGGAGCGAACGGGAUUAGAUACCCCCGUAGUC
rnacentral:rRNA from 1 species